rnacentral:ncRNA from 1 species
GGGUCCAGCCUGGAAAGGCUGGAGGUAUUGGAAUGGUCGGGCCGCCAUUC